rnacentral:rRNA from 1 species
UACGGAGGGGACUAGCGUUGUUCGGAAUUACUGGGCGUAAAGCGUGCGCAGGCGGUUUUGUAAGCCAGAUGUGAAAUCCCCGGGCUUAACCUGGGAAUGGCAUUUGGGACUGCAAGGCUCGAGUGCGGCAGAGGAGACUGGAAUUCCUGGUGUAGCAGUGAAAUGCGUAGAUAUCAGGAGGAACACCGAUGGCGAAGGCAGGUCUCUGGGCUGACACUGACGCUCAUGCACGAAAGGCGUGGGGAGCAAA